rnacentral:lncRNA from 1 species
ACAGGGUGAGGGCGGCCGUUACUGGAGUUCAGCUUCGGGAAGGAGGACGCUGAGGAGGCGCCGAGCCGCGGAGCGCUUCUGGGGAGGCGCCCGCGCAGACUCGAGGCCCAUAGCCAGGACCACCACCUAGCUGUUCUACAGUCUGGGGACCAUGGUUUAAGAAUUUAUGCCUUGUAUGCGAUGUGCAGUGGGUGAUGGAAGAACGUCUACAUGGCUUUAAAAUUGGAUUUAAAAGGCAAAUAUUUUAAAUGAAGGAAAACCCAAGAAGUUUACUUGAUUCCUUAUCUUCCAGGAUGCGGCUUUUAUUUAUUUAUUUAUUUUAUUUUGAUGGAGUCUCGCUGCCGUCGCGCAGGCUGGAGUGCAGUGACGCGAUCUUGACCCGGGAACCUCCACCUCCCGGGUUCAAGCGAUUCUCCUUCCUCAACCACGCGAGUAGCUGGGAUUACAGGCGUGUGCCACCAUGCCCGGCUAAUUUUUGUGUUUUUAGUAGAGACUGGGGAAGGUAUGGGCCCUCUUUUGAGAAAAAUGCAGAGUGACACUGAAUUUUGUAACUACCUCAGGAGGCUCUUGAACCUUCUGCAGCUCACUCAUGGAGUUUGUAGAGAUGCGUAAUAAUCCGAAGUGUUAAAGAAGAAGGUUCUGUUGAGAAAAAGUUGGAGGGCUGAAAGGGAUGCCUUUCGCUAUUUCGACGUGUGGCUGUACCCCAGAGUGCCCUGGCUAACACGCGAAACCAUGAAUUAGGCGGCUUGGCGAGGCUCAGUGGAGGCUGGGGCUGAGAGUCGUGUCGAAGUUUGUGAGGUUAACCUGCACCCAGUGACAGUCAUGGCGAAGUUUGUGAGGUUAACUCGCACCCAGUAACGCUGUUCCAAUGCAAGGUGUGUAUUUGGUGUCAUCCACGGGAAGAGGAAAGAGCAAAUUUUCUCAUGGCCUUGGCAGUUCCACGUGAUGGACAUUUCAUAUCUGCAGUUUUCUUCGCAUGAGACGGCUUUUUCGCACAAACACACUGGAAUCCAGUGAGCAAUGAUAGAAUGCAAGAUGAAUUUCCACAUGAGGAAGUGUCACGAACGAGGGUUUUGCAUCUUUGUCAGCUGGAUUCCCCCAUGUGGUGUGGGCGGCAAGCCACCCAGGCACCGAGGCAAGAGACAGAGAACACGAGCUGUUCCAGUAUAAUAAAAUAUAAAACAAGAAUAGUUAUACC